UUUUCUAGGUCCUGUGAUCUUAUUACAACCUACUGAGUGACAACUAAGUGAGGACUCAUUAGCUGGCUCUAAUCCAACUGAUAUGUGCCUCCUAGCAGACAGCAUCUUCAGCUUAACUUUGGGUGUUCUGCAGGGAGGAUAAAGAGAAGCCUCAGGGAAAUACACUCCUUAGGUAUGACAGCCUAGUUCUGAAGAUUGCUGCAGUCUGGAGUCUAGUAUUUGCGAACCCAAGAGAGCCAAGAAAGGGUCCUUUACUUAAAGCUGCAAGAAGAAGGAAAAUAAAAACCCCAAAGUUAAGUAUCACCAUCCAGCUGGCACAUGUGCUCAGGCCACAACUGGCUUUGGCAAGUCCCCAUCCUCGAGGCCUCCAGUGGCUCUGAAAUUCUCACCACAAGAAAAUCAUGGGUUUUAAGACACAAGAAUUAAAGAACACAUUGAUGUAAUUUUGGUGCAUGAGCAUUUAGAGAAAUGUGUGUUUGUCUUUGAAGGUUGGCUAACUUUGGAAAUUCUUCAGACCUGUAAUGGGGCUAUUUGCCCGGGAGUUGGUUCUACUGUUCCUGAAGAGAUGGCAAUAUUAACCAUCCCCAAAGUGCAGCAUUGAGCCUUUCCCCUUCCCACUACCCCAUACUCAGGAGGAGCAAUCUAUGCCCAAAUUUCUUUUUAAAAUUAGAAGUAUCUCUCUGUAUAUAAACUGAUCGCCUAGAGUCUUAAUCAGAAAAUAAAACUAGUUCUUAAAUUUUCUUGGAGGAAUUUUGCUCAAGUGAUUGUAUUAUUUCUGCUUGAAUAACUCCUUACAAAGGAAAUUCUUAAGCUAUUUUUCCAGAUAAUAGAGUCAAAAUUAGUUUCUUUCUAAUUCUACACAUUCAUUCUUGUUCUUUCUCUGAGGGGCACAAAUAAUAAUCCAUCCUCUUGGUCAUAGCCACCCUCAUAUUCCAUCUUUUUCCUAGACUAAAUAUUCCAAUGUUUUUCACCUGACAAGUACUUCACCAUCCUAAUCAUUCUUUCCUGCAUACGUCCAGCUUGAUUCUCAUCUUUUAGGGUACUUGCUUUAAUUUUUAAAAACAUUUUGCCUAGCUUGCACUGCAAUACUCCUGUAAAAUAAUGCAGAGUCUU
rnacentral:lncRNA from 1 species